rnacentral:rRNA from 1 species
ACGUACACUCCUACGGGAGGCAGCAGUGGGGAAUAUUGCACAAUGGGCGCAAGCCUGAUGCAGCCAUGCCGCGUGUAUGAAGAAGGCCUUCGGGUUGUAAAGUACUUUCAGCGGGGAGGAAGGCGAUAAGGUUAAUAACCUUGUCGAUUGACGUUACCCGCAGAAGAAGCACCGGCUAACUCCGUGCCAGCAGCCGCGGUAAUACGGAGGGUGCAAGCGUUAAUCGGAAUUACUGGGCGUAAAGCGCACGCAGGCGGUCUGUCAAGUCGGAUGUGAAAUCCCCGGGCUCAACCUGGGAACUGCAUUCGAAACUGGCAGGCUAGAGUCUUGUAGAGGGGGGUAGAAUUCCAGGUGUAGCGGUGAAAUGCGUAGAGAUCUGGAUGAAUACCGGUGGCGAAGGCGGCCCCCUGGACAAAGACUGACGCUCAGGUGCGAAAGCGUGGGGAGCAAACAGGAUUAGAAACCCCGGUAGUCCCAUG